rnacentral:lncRNA from 1 species
GGGAGGUACCACUUUAAGCAAGAAAAGCCGCGUAUGGAGCGAGCAGCUGUAUUCACACUCAGCUGGCUUAUCCUAGCUGAGGUACCUCGAGCGCAGGAGGCGCGGAACCGUAUUGCGCAUGAAACGUGUGCGACUGGAACAGGAGGAACGAGGGCUGCGGAGGCAGAAUGCAAAUGUUUCGCAAUGCGGCGAGCCAUGACAUUUCUAGCGCCUGGUACCUCUGUCUGACCCAAGAGUGACCAACAAAUCUGCACCGAUUCAACGAUUCAUGAUUAACUGUAGCUGUGUGGUAGCGUCCCGACGGUGACUACUGUUGAUCUGCUGCCGUCUACCGAAAUGCGCAUAUGCUAUUAUGAACAAGGACGACAGAUUAUCUUGCGUGUGUUUCAAAGAGGGAGGCAGCUGACUCGCGAGGAGGAUCGUCAGUCCACCAUGGCCACACUACUUAGUCCGAUGCCUCUUAACAAUGACCGUGUUGCGUAGCUGUGCAAAGGCUCACCUUUUUUCGUUCUCGUUCAAACCUCCAUUGGAUAUGCAGGUGCCUCAGCAGAGAACAAGCGACCUGGAUAUAGCGUUACAAGAGAGUGGCGUUUUGGCUUUCCAGUCCCAGCAAGUGAGUUUGAUUGCUUUUAGGAACUCGCUGGGGGUUAACGACAUCGGAAAAGGGUAAUGCACCAGUACGUAUUUUUCUCUCGCCGGCGUCCCCGCUACUCCCAGGAUCUCGAUUCGGUGCGGAAUGCCCCAGAGAAACCACCAGCAUAAGGUGCACGCCACGGUGAAAACUUGCAUAGGGUGUAGAGCGAGGCCAUGUCUGCAAUGUGUCGCUAUUAGCUCACGCAAUGCAGCACCCAGCUGACCUUGGGUUCCGGACCAAUUUUUGUAGAAAAGCUCCUCGUGUAGCCUCAACUGCGCAAGGGGAACCGUGAAGAAGUCCUAUGAGAGGGUGGCAGUCGCAAAUGUAUGUGCUUGCGCAGGUACGUCAGCGCAGGCGGUCAUCGUGCGACAUCUGGUUUGUGGACUGCCGUAGGUUCCAUGUCAGAACACCGUGGGAAUAUGGUUGUGGACAGCCACAGGAGGUGAGGCGUGCUUUUGAUUCUCAUUUGGCACUAUGUUGUAUGGAAGUAUGCAGGUGAGCGAGAGCCGAAUGGGUCCUGCGUCCGAGUGUCGGUGAGAGUGGAGUAGGAGAGGUAAGUGAAUGUGGUUGACCGGGUACUUCAGUGCACGGAAACAAGAUGUGACAUCUGAUUUGUGGACUUCCAUGAGCUCUGCGUCGGAACAAUUUAUCUGUGACUGUGAACAGCUUCAAGAAGUGAGGACCGCUUUUGUUUUGCAUUUCGUACUAUGUUGUAUGGAUGAGUAUGCACGAGAACGACAGCCGUAUGGGUGCUGUGCCAGAAUGUUAGAGACAGUGAAGUAGGAGAGGACGAUGAUCAGGGUUGAUCGGGUACCUCGGUGCGCGAGGGCUUGAUAUCAAACCUGAUUUGAGAACUGCUGUGAGGUCGCCGUCAUGACAUCGUUGGAAUGUGGUUGUGAGCAGCAGAAGGAUACGCGGAUCGUUGCCUUCCCCUGCUAUGGCGUGCAAGUUGUUUUUCUGUUUCGGGUUGUCCCUGAAGUGGAUUGCUGUUUUGUGAUGUGGUACAGUGGAGGUGAAUGCUUGCGUUAUGCUAUCAGCACAGAUAAUGCCUUAGAUGGAGCUGUUGCCCGAAUGAAAUUCUAGAUGGCAACGCCGUAGUUCCGCAGCAAAUGGAAGCCACUGGAGGUUUACGAGAGCGUUAUCCUGUAAGGUUGGGGUUUGCAGUGGACUCGCGUAGAGGCACAGAGGAUGCAAGACUCUAAGAACGUAUACAAGGUUUCCGGUUCUGCAUAUUUGGAGAUAAGUGUCCAUCGCCGGUUGAAGUAUCCAGAAGUAGCUUGUGAUGACCUUGGAUGCAAAAGUGGCUCGCACUGCAUUUGCUUCCAUGAACAAUGCUUUUACUGAUAAAAUGCACAGAUACGCAAUACAGUUUCAACCGGAUUUGUGUGACUAACGGAUUUUCUGGAACGUCAUUGUCGUCUUUUGUGGUGGAUCUUCGGUUCAGGAUGGAGCGAUGGUACGUUUGGAUCAAAGCGAUACGUGGGUAACUUCAGGAGUAAGGUCAUUGCUGACCACCCUGUGAAAUCGACGAAUCUACGCUUUGUAUUGUCUCCCAUGGGGGAGCUUUGCUCUCUGGGGCCCGUGUCAUCGUCGCAAGUACAUGCAGCAUUCACUCUUACUCAAUACAGUGCUACUGCGCCCUUGGUAGCUGCCGCGUAAGGCAAGAAACCGGGCAUUGUAACAGGAAGUCACUUUUGAGUAGUCACGACCAACUCGAAACAUGCCUGUAUCAAUUGUUCUGCCAGUGACCCAUUCACAACUGAGUUUCGCGGUGAUAGCCGCUUCAGCUGGUGGUGUUGGCAUGCCACAGAUCCGACUUCUUACGUUCGGUGACGGUGGCUUUUGUUGCCUGUUCUGGUCGCGAGAUGAUUCCAUUGAGCGGGAAGGCUAAAACGUCGCCAUGCACGCCUUCGUACGUUUACCGCUCCCGAAGAAGAUAAGCUCAAAGUAUUUUUGCUGAUGAGACACAUGGGCUCGAAUUCCUCUGUAAAUGUACUACGUCCUUAACCCAGAUCUGACAGCAGCAGAUGAUGCACUUGGAUGCAUCCAGAGAUUGUAUGAUACUUGCAAAUUCUCGCUUUCGCUACUAUUGCAACUUUAGAAGAACAUUUGUUUGUUUCGCCUCUUACGUGCCACCUUAAAUUUGAGAAUCGGCUCCUUGGUCUCCUUUUAAGAGAGUUGUCGCGCAAAAGAUGACCCACCUUGACUGCUUCUAUCCGAUAAAUGGAGUCAUAAUCCUAGGUACCGUAGUGUCUUCGUUUAUUUGAUUUGAGUUCCACAGCUCUGGAUCGCGGAUAAUUUGUAUAGAGACAAUAUCUACUUAGUACGCUGUGAGGAAAGGGAGUGGCCGUAACCUCGUUUUGCCCUGUGGCUACCUUGUCUCUUUCAUGUCGAUGAUACUGAUGUAUAUGCGUUGGAGAAGAUUCCACUAUGUGUGUUGGUGUAUAAAAUGACUAGUGCGCGGCCAGCAUAGCCUUUCGACAGAGUGGAAGCUCAGUUACAGCAGAAAAGCGAGUGAUGCGGAAAUCAGGUGAUUUUGGAACAUUUCGGCUUUGUCGGUUUUCAUUUCGCGCCCGUCGAAUCCACGAAGGGUGUGAGAGAUCCGCAGGUGCGGGCGUCCUACUCCCAAAAAACGUGUAUAUGCAACCUCAUUGAACAGGAUGUACGUUUUUGCCACUUCAAUAGACGGCAAUAAUCAAGCUUGCCUGCAGGGGCAAGAAGUAUUUCUCCAGAGAGCAUGCUGUAGAGCAGGUCAAGAACACGUAGACAUCCUAUAAGCCAGAACCGUGGAUCCGGUACUGAUAAACACUGAUGUGUGUAAACGGUGCUUCGAAAACUAUUCGGUCGAUUAACUUUCAGCAGGUAAGCGACAGGAACACAGUUCCACGAUGUUCUGCUAGUGGAUUGCUGCUUUCUCAUUUGUGUGACUGUCCUAAACUGGCGAAGAAUUAGUGUAUGAACUUUGAGCUGAAUAAACGAAUGCUAAUUCAAAAACUGCAGUAACCACGAGAUGUAACACCUGCCACUGUGUCGGCACCAAAGACAUGUGUAUUCGGUUCCGUCUCUCUAGCAGCUGGGGCUCGAGGAAUGUCUCAAUCGGUUGAAGACUGUAACAGCAACACAAAGAAUUCAGACUUGUGAGGAACCACAUACUGUCGCGGGGUGCGCUAGAAGCCCUUGUCAGUUGAUGCGAAUGGUACUCAGGAUACAGAACUCACAUAGGCCACGUCGUGCUUCAGCAAACACGACAGUGACCUGUCCGCACGUUCUCAGAAUUUCCACAUGUAAAGUGGAACUCGGCAAUGGCGCUCGGAGCCACUUUGGUCUGAUGUACAAGGUGCCCGCUGACAGUCGGAACACGAUCUCGUUGGCUUGCGCGGCAGGAUUUCCGAGUUCAGCAACCUUUUUUCAAGUCCUGUUGUGUAGUUCACGCUUCUGAGUGACGACUCCGCAUGGCUCUGUAGUGGCGUCACGAAUCGGUGUCGAACCGUACUUGUCUGGGUCGCCGUCGUAGAGCGGGGGUGCCUCGUUGUUUAGGCAAUGCGUCACCGGUACGAACGUAAACACAGGCGUACGAGAGGCCGAGAGAGGAGCAAAAACCCAGGAAGUCACGGAAUGUACGGAGCGCCACUUAUUCGUCAUGUAAGGGAGAUAUGGGAUUUUCGCCAGGCAGGAUUGCUGCUGUGGAGAGAGGCACGCAGUUAGUGUGCCUAGAACCCGGCCUGGCUUCUCUUGCUCCUCGCACACUCGAGAACGGUUCUGGAUUUGACAUUGGGGAAGAAAGUGCUCGAGCUGUACAUUGGAAACAGUGUAGUAGUUGUGCCUUUAAUCGUACUGUCUUCCUCAUUCGGACUUUCAAGUCCACUUCGGUUUCACCGCACACGGGUUAAACGUAUCAGGCUCAAUUUGCUCGGUCUUGAUGUGGGUACUUGUGUACUACGAGAUUGCGUUCCGCCGAUCUACAAAGGUGGAUGCUGACGAAUGCUGUUACGUGAUUCAGAUAAAGAAUGUGAGAGACCACAUUCGUAUGUGUGGCCAUGGCCGCGAAAAGGACGAACGCUCAUAGUCGUCUGAGUAGAUGGAUACACGAUGCCUCCACAGGAGUGCGAAGCUGAAGAAACACCACUCAUGUAGCAACGAAGUGCGCAAUGGCCUCGGGGGGUUGCUGCCCGCAUGACCCGAACACGACUGAACGAUCAGGUAUUCACUUAGAGCGGCCAAGGGAAACCAUAAGCAGCAUACUCUUUGUACGGUUCCAAAUGGUUCACGCUCUCGACGCCGAAAACGCAAAAACGCAGCUUUUGACGGUAUGAGUCGGGCCGGUUAGUCACGUUGAGAGGGAGCGGGAAUGCUGGUUGACAGCUGUGUCUCUUCCAGAACAGUUGAUGACACUCAGCUGGUCGUAUAUUUGCCAUGCAUCGCGUUUCCUUUGCGACUGGGUUUGCAUCUGCCGGAAGGUAAUGUCUACAUCGGUUCCAACUAGCCGUCGUUACUCGUCCACAAGUUUGCUGGUGCCUUUCGACGUGCGUCAAAGCGGAGAAACGUGCGAAAUUUGGCUUCUAACUCGUGGCGAAUAUGCAACUGUGGGUCUUGAGGUCAGUGGCAUGUUCUUCUACGUGCCUUAUGUUGGGUUUUUCAACCACGCAUGCCAGCGCUCUUCAUAAGACAUCGCUUGUGUGGUUGGGCGACGUCGCAGUACUGAUUAUCACUCUUGCAGCAGAAUAUACCAGAUGGCCUCUCGCUAUUUUUGUUUUCCGGAACUGGUUGAACGUGCACUUUCUAAUCGAUCUGAGAAGGUCAUACUGUCUGGUAUCAGUUCCGUUAACGCACCCAGCUGGAGUCUUCGUGGAGAUACGCAUUGUGACAUGCUGACGAAAUGUUGCUGAUACAUCAGUGUUGUGUAUGCGGUUACAUGUUCGUGAAAUCCGCCAUGAAAAGCAAUAUUAUAGUGUUGGCAGUCUCCGACGACUUGUCUUUGUGUUGGGUCUGACGAUACAAGCCACAAAUUUCGAUUCACCAAUAGAAUUCGCCUUUCAGUGGCUAAAUGCCAGCUACGAAGGUACUACGUCCUGCUGCAGGAGAAUGAUGAUCGUUACGAUUUCCUGUUGACCCGCGCGGAGGCACCUGCCGUCCUGGAAGCGGUGAUCUCUCAAUUAGACAAGCCGCCGCGCAGGCAACAGCAGAUGUGUUUAAACGCUCAUUAUCCUGACCGCUACUCGAGAUGGCGAAAACCGGUUAUGUAAUAAACGAAGCGGUUAUACUCUCUUCACGUCGACACGGCAGA